CGGGAGGCAGCAGUCGGGAAUUUUGGGCAAUGGGGGCAACCCUGACCCAGCAACGCCGCGUGAAGGAAGAAGUCCUUCGGGAUGUAAACUUCGGAAAUAUAGGAAGAAACAAAUGACNGGUACUAUAUCUAAGCCCCGGCUAACUCCGUGCCAGCAGCCGCGGUAAUACGGGAGGGGGCAAGCGUUGUUCGGAUUUACUGGGCGUAAAGGGCGCGUAGGCGGUCGAUCAAGUCACUUGUGAAAUCUCUGAGCUUAACUCAGAGCGGCCAAGUGAUACUGAUCAACUAGAGUGCAGAAGGGGCAACUGGAAUUCUUGGUGUAGCGGUGAAAUGCGUAGAUAUCAAGAGGAACACCUGAGGCGAAGGCGGGUUGCUGGGCUGACACUGACGCUGAGGCGCGAAAGCUAGGGGAGCAAACAGGAUUAGAUACCCUGGUAGUCCUAGCCUUAAACGAUGGAUGCUUGGUGUCUGGAGUAACAGUCUCCGGGUGCCGUCGCUAACGCUGUUAGCAUCCCGCCUGGGGAGUACGCACGCAAGUGUGAAACUCAAAAAAAUUGACGG
rnacentral:rRNA from 1 species